rnacentral:lncRNA from 1 species
GUUGCAGAAACAGUGAGGCCUGAGCACAAAAGGAUAGCCCCAUCAAGGCCCAGGGGCCCAUCAAGCCAGUUCAGCACCAGGCAGUGUUGGGGAGAAAUAGCCCUGUCGAUAGGCACCCCACUAUCUCCCAGGAGAGAGGGGAGAUGUGUAUUAUUCCUAAGAAAGAAGCCAUUUCUCCCACACUCUGCAGAUCUGGGUCUCAAUUCAGUCAAAUGCCAGGCACUUGACUUCAAGAGAAGAAUAAACAGUGCAGGAAACCAGGGAGCUCAGCAGGGGCCACCCGAGGUCAAUGACCUUUCCUUACAGAAACAGGUGACCUCUGCUCUCAGGACACAAUCCCAAGGCUGUCAAGAGAUACACAAUUGGAAAAUAAGUCUCUCCCCAACACCUGACCCCAUCUGCCUGCUCUCCUCCCCAGAGACAACCCUGUCACCAGAUUCUUAGGUCUCCCUAAAGUGCAUAUUUAAAAGAAAUGUUGAGUGCACAUAGGUUUAAAUGAAAUCUAUUCUGCAUGUUCUUAAGGAAUUAGGAUUCAGAGACCUGUUCCAUCCUUCACCCACUGCCUCCCUGACUACUUAAUACUCCUACAUACAAAUCUCUCCACAGGUGGAAAAACCCUUUCACUCGGAGGUAGCUCAUCCCACUUUCAGAUCGUUCUGGUACUUCAUAAGAUAUUUUUAAAUUCUGUAAAUUUUCAAUCUCUUGGUUUGCCCUCAUAACUUUUGGCACUGACCUCUGGGGCCAGAGGAAACAGGUGGUCAAACGCCUGUCGUCUGUGAUGGAACUUGGAGCAUUCAAAGCCCUCACAUCUUCCCUCUGCAGAGCGACUGUUGCUCCCCUUCCACAGCGUGUGGUUCUGGGGGUCCAGCACCAUGUUCCCUCUGGACAAGACUAAGCUCUCAUGCAGCAGACUCAGAAACUUCUCUUUCAGGGAGACUCAUUCAUCAGAGGCAAACAGUGGCUUCCCAGUUAGGCACCAAGAAUGAACGGUGUCAUGAAGAUUGAUGGACAUGUGUAAGAGAGUGGGGCAAAUAUUAAGCCCAGUCAAUGCUGGUGAGACAGGCGUGGAGGUUUUACCCAGAGUUCUUCUGGCCAAGCAGAAGCUUUGCUGUACCUGCCCUGAUGACCUUCCAAGGUUAUGAAGUAGAGUCUGGAGUCCUGGUAUCAUCAUCUGUCAGGGUUAGAGGGUCUGCCAUGUGACAGGGAUCAGGAACACAGCCUCUCCUACAAGGCAUGGCCAAGUUAUUUAGCCUCGUGUAAGCCAGCACGUGCACUGAGGGAUCGACAACAUCGCAUCCAUACUCUGCACAGAGUGGGCUGCCGUGGUCCUGCGGUGGGGGCUGGGGUGCCACCUGGAACCUGUGUGCAAGGCCCCUCAGGGCUCU